CACUAAGCAGGGGACACAGGAAGUAGUUUCUCUUUUCUUCCACCUUGCCUCUGACACCUCAGGGCAGUGAAGGCUUUGAUAUGCGUGAGGAGGCAUCGGGUCAGCAGAUGGAGGAGUCCAGGCCCUGUUCUAGGCAAGAUAAGUACUCUGAGUGAAGUUUGAGGGAACCACCCACCACAGAUUGGAGGGACUCCCACAGAGUCCAACCCCUGAUUUCAGCCCUGUUAGAUCCCAGACAGGGAUCAUUUGAUUUAGUACCUUCUGAAUUCCCUCAGUGAGGACUCUGGGAGCUGAGAGUCAGCAGAUGGAGGCGUCCAGGCUCUGCCACACGUUAAGGUGACCCUUUUUUGAAGUGAGGAGGUCAUUGGACACUUUCUUGAAGGAGACAGCAUUGUGGAACAUUAAAUAGAUGUCACUAGUCAUCACCUCUAAAUUGUUGGCCUGAUCUUGGGUGUUCUAAGUUGACCCUUAGACAACUUGGGUUUGAACUGCAUGGAUCUACUUAUACAUGGAUUUUCUUCUGCCUCUGCCACCCAUGAAACAGCAAGACCAACCGUUCCUUUUCCAUUUUUCUCCUCAGCCUACUCAACACAAAGAAGAUGAAUAUGAAGACCUUUGUGAUGAUCCACUUCACUUAAUGAAUAGUUGUAGGCAAAGCCAGCUGCCAUUUCAUAAGAACACUCAGGCAACACUAUGGAGCUGUUCAUUGGCAAGGAAAUUAGUUCUCCUGCCGUAACCAGCAAGGAACUGAAGCUCUUGCUAACAGCUAUGUGAAUUAGUUAUUUUGGAAGCAGAUCCUCCAACUCCAGUCAAGCCAGCUGACAUACAGCACUAGCUGACAUCAUGAUUGCAACCAUGUGAGAAGAUUCGGGUCAGAGCCACCCAGAUGCUGAAACCUGAAGUCAGCAGGGAAGUCAGGAAGAGGAGAUGAUGCAAAGCAGAGGAAGCAAGGAUAAAUGGAAUCCAUGAGGACUAUCUGGAGCUCUCAAGGACUGACUGGGACCCAUGUUGAUCUUCCACUGCCUCCAAACCUCCAAUUUCAAUGACAUCAAUGCCCUGAAAAAAAAAAGUGGGCGUUCUUUUUUAUGGAGCUGGUGAAGAAGGAGGAAGAUAUGAGGGAGAACUGGAGCAAUUGUGGGCCCAACUGCUGCCUCACACCAAGCAGAGAACCCUGAAGGAAGAGGUGCCAGGAGAGAUGAAAGGAAAUAUCAUGGGAAUGGAGUGCUGUUCAGCCUGCGGAAUGUCUGGAAUAUCUGAGAAGCAGCAGGACAACAGUCGAUGCCUCUAGGUAGAUGUGCCUUCUGACAAAGCGAAGAUGGUGGGAAUAAAAGUCAAUUGAAUAUCUACCAGACAAGAUAGAAUUUGCAUAUCCAUCAGUUACAAAGAGGGAAGAAGUAGCUCAAAGACAAUGAAAAGGACCAAAAUCUGAUAAUCCAUAAAGACUGUACAGGAAACGUGAUGCUGGUAUCUGCUUGGCUUCUGAGGAGGUCUCAGGAAACUUACAAACAGGGUGGAACGCAAAGCAGGAGCAAGCACCUCACAUGGCUGGAGCAGGAGGAAGAGAAAGAGGGUGGAGGUGAUACACAUUUUUAAACAACCAGAUCUCACAAGCACUCACUCACUAUCAUGAGAGUAGCAUCAAGGGGCAAAUCCACCCCCAGGAUCCAAUCACCUCUCACCAGGCCUAACCUCCAACAUUAGGGAUUACAAUUGAACAUGAGAUUUGGGUGAGGUCACAGAGACAAGCAAUAUCACCAUCUUAACAGGUUUAAGGUGAUAUCUCAUUAUGGUUUGAUUUGCAUCACUCUGAUAAUUAGCGAUGUUGAGC
rnacentral:lncRNA from 10 species